CAGACUUGAUAAUCCCAGGAUCCCUUCUGGCCUUGCAUCUAUGAAUCUGCAUUAAGGACAUUCACAUACAUAGGGAGCCACAUUUCUACUUUGCAUCAUCAGAUUGAACCUCCUGCCAUGGGGUACCAGCAGGACAAUGGUGGCUUCUGAUGAAAGACCAUUUACACCAAAAGGAGCCAUAGAGAGCAAGCACACCUACACCAUUCCACAGACUGUCUUCAGAGAAGUGGCUCAGCAGGGAUGUUCUAUCCUGUUUGACCUCUGACAAUCUCUUAAACUCCCGUAAAGGCAGAAAAUCCC